rnacentral:rRNA from 1 species
UACGUAGGGUGCAAGCGUUGUCCGGAAUUAUUGGGCGUAAAGAGCUCGUAGGCGGUUUGUCGCGUCUGCUGUGAAAACUCGGGGCUUAACUCCGGGCCUGCAGUGGGUACGGGCAGACUAGAGUGCGGUAGGGGAGACUGGAAUUCCUGGUGUAGCGGUGAAAUGCGCAGAUAUCAGGAGGAACACCGGUGGCGAAGGCGGGUCUCUGGGCAGUAACUGACGCUGAGGAGCGAAAGCGUGGGGAGCGAACCGG